UGUUCUUCAUAACAGGGUAGUGCUGCGAGAGGAAAUCUUAGCAAGGAGGAUGCUGCCUUUAUUUGUGUGCAAGCACCUGAUGCAGUCCCACAAAGAGGAUUUAUAUUUGAGGUGGUCAAUGGAGAUGAGAAGAUUUCAGAUUGGCAAGAGUGUAUGGCUAGAUUGAUGGAGAAAGCUGGGCAACAGCUUCAAUAAUAACACCCAAACCAUGCUAAAAAAGGUGCCAAUCAUUUAUGUUUAUUUGUUUUUCUUUGUUCUUGGCGGUGUUCUCAUGAAAUGUUUUGCCAGAGAAAAGGGCAUUACAAGUGAGUUUGUUUUACACAUGAACUGCAUAACCAUUAACCAGUAAUGAUUCAGAGAACAUAAGUGUUAGUGCUAAAUUUCUGAUAUCAAGCAGUUGCCAAAGCCCAA